UUCAGCACUGACCAGGGCUUAACUAGCCAUUAAGGCCCUGCACUUUGCCUAGAGGAGCCCACCCAGGAUACUACAAGGCUCCUGCAGACUGACAAUUUCUCAAACUUUGUUUUUGAUGACUUUGACAAUUUUGAGGUGGUAUGAUAAUUUGUGAAGUGUUUCUCAUGCUUAGCCUGGAGUUACAAGGUUGGAGAAAAAGACCAAAGAUGUGAAGUGCCAUUCUCAUCACAUCAUGUCAAGGGUACAUGCUGUUAACAUGAAUUAACAUCGAUGAUGUUAACCUUGAUGUCCUGGCUGAGGACUUGGAGGGAUCCCCCUCUCCUCUAGCAACUUUCUGCACCUCCUCUUCCCUGCUGUCAUUCCAAUGGUGAACUCUCUUGGAUAGAAGGAUUCAAACAGAAAAAUGCAAAAAGAAGUCAGAUGGAAAACUCUGGAAAAUCCAAGAAGGGAGCUAGUUGAUGAUGAGCAAAGCCACAUGUGCUGUCUUGACAGCCAUAGAGAAGAAUGGAGGCCUCCAUACCUGAGUGGAAAGAGAAGAACAUGGGCAAUGAUUUUGUCUCUACAAAACAACAACAACAACAGACAAACAAAAUUAGCUGAGUGUGGUGGUGUGCACCUGCAACUUCACUACUUAGCAGGCUGGGGUGGGAGGAUGGCUUGAACCCAGGAGUUCAAGGCUAUAGUGAGCUGUGAUUGUGCCACUGCACUCCAGCCUGACAGAACAAGACCAUGUCUCAAAAGGAAAAAAAAAAAAGAAAAGGAAAGAAGAAAAGAAUUUAAAAAGAGAAGGGAGAAUGAGAAGAGUCACAACUUUGAUAAAGUGGGGAGCAUUGGGUUGGGUAUGGAAUGGUAGUAGUCUUGUCUAGUUCAGAAUCAGACAGACCUGAGUUUAGUCCUUCACAUCUACCCUUUUACCCUUCUUAUUUUAUUUCCCUUCCCUUCCCAUUUUGUUAUUCAUUUAAUAAAGUUUCUAAAUU
rnacentral:lncRNA from 10 species